UUGCAGGAUAGCUCAGUUGGUAGGGCAUGAGGCUCUUAAUCUCAGGCUCAUGGGUUCGAGCCCCACGUUGGAGAAAAA